rnacentral:rRNA from 1 species
AAUCAACGCUGGCGGCGUGCCUAACACAUGCAAGUCGGACGAGAAAGCGGGGGCAACCCUGCAAGUACAGUGGCAGACGGGUGAGUAACACGUGAACAAUCUACCCUCGAGUGGGGAAUAACCCCGCGAAAGCGGGGCUAAUACCGCAUAACAUCCUUUCACCGCAUGGUGAGGGGAUCAAGGGCGACAGUUGCUUGAGGAGGAGUUCGCGGCUGAUUAGCUAGUUGGUGAGGUAACGGCCCACCAAGGAAACGAUCAGUAGCCGGCCUGAGAGGGCGAACGGCCACACUGGAACUGAGACACGGUCCAGACUCCUACGGGAGGCAGCAGUGGGGAAUUUCGCGCAAUGGGCGAAAGCCUGACGCAGCAACGCCGCGUGGAGGAUGAAGGUCCUCGGAUCGUAAACUCCUGUCAGCGGGGACGAAAGCCCGAAAGGGAUUGACUGUACCCGCUGAGGAAGCCACGGCUAACUCCGUGCCAGCAGCCGCCGUAACAC